CUGGCACGGGGGUUGAUCUCGGGUGGUCCUGCCCGGCCUGAGCGAGGACAGGGGAGGUCAGCCCGCACCCCGAGACGCCCAGCUCCCUCACUUCCCUCUCGGAGGGGGCGAGGCCGGCGGCAGGGUGUGGGGCUGGUCCUGGCCGCCGCCCGGGCCCCCUCUCACCUGGGGGCGAGGGCACCCCGGCGGCGGGCGCGGGGUCCGGGCGCGCCCCCUUCCCGCCCGCCCGCCCAGCCGCGAGCCGGUGCCCCGCCGGGGACCGGGCGGACGAGGGCGGCGCCCCGCCCCGCGCCCGCCGCCGCCCGGGUCCCGCGCCCCCGGCCGCGCCCCCGGCCCGGCCGGCACCUUUGAUCACGUUGCUGUAGAUGGUGGGGCGGAACUCCUCGCGCGCGCGCUGGUCGAAGUCCUGCCCGUGGAUGAUCCGCAUCUGCUUCAGGAAGGUGGACUUGCCGCUCUCGCCCGCGCCCAGCAGCAGGAUCUUCACCAGCCGCUUCACCCUCUGAAAAGGAUCCAUGAGCUGCUGAUGAUCAGCUGUGACCUCAGCUCAUCAGAAGUCAGAAGCUGGUAUUGUUUCAAAGACAUGCACCAGCACCCCUAGAAGCAGCGGCACCUUGCUUGCUGCAUCAGACCCCUUUACGGGCCAUCUGCGUCUGUCUGAGACUCCUGAGAAACUAGAAAGGUCCUGCUCACUCCUUCUCUUUUAUUUUCCCUUGCCACUUUUGUAAAGGAGGGAUGCUUUCAGUAUUUUCUUGCCUGUAAACACAAGUCCUGUUUCUCCAGAAAAGAUCAAGUCUGCAGUCUUAAUUUAUUCCCCUGGUAGCAGCUUUCUUUUCCUGGGAACACUGGGGUAGCAGGCUUGGACCUGCUGCUUCCAGCAACUCCUGACUGGCUGACUGGUCUACAGGUAGCCUCGCAUGUCACAACCUGCAGAGCCGGACUUUGCCUCAGAACAAAACGCCAGGGAGUGUCAACUGUUGAAUUUAUCGAGCAGGGAGAGUUCAUCCAUCGGUGCCCAGAAAUGGUUCACGUGGCCUUUUUCAGAUCGCUGCAGACGGGCUCCCAGAAUAAAUCAGGUCAUCAAUGAGUCUUUCUCCAAAUUCCUGUAUCAGCUGCAAAGGAAGAAAAAAGGCAAGCUCAUAGAAGGAUUCAGGGAACAAGAGCAACUGCUGAGUCAGAGUAACAGCAUCGGAGACCUGAGAAGAUGAAGCAUUGUAACUCAGCUCCUCCUUCUGCUCCAGUUAUUAGCUUUCUCCUGAUACAUCCCAACAGGGAGAAAUGGGGGCGGGGAUAAAAGCCAGGAGAAGUGACUUCCUAUGUGUAUUUCAAACUCGUGAUGGCUUGAACUGUAACAGGAAGAGAUCCUUACGUCGAGAGGGGAUCCACUAUCCUGUCUACACCAGCAUGACUCCUGUCAGACUGUUCACCAUUCAUUUUGUUUUCCAGAGAAGGAAUGCAGCCCAGUGGGAGAAGGAACUUGGGUGAGAACUCAGUUAACAAAGCCACGCCUCGCCUUUCUUUCCUGUAAAGUGGAAGGAGUUACACACAGAAUCCUCAGGAAGAUUAAAUUAUAGGACAGGUGCACUCAGUGCCCGUCCACAGAUGGGAGGCUUGACUGAGGAAGAAGCAACCAAAUGCCUUUAGAAGCCCGUUGGAGGCUUACCAGGGCCGACAAUGACGUUCUUCCUUUAUCUUUCCUCAAUCUGUGCUUUAAACCUCUUGCUCAGGUAUGCUCACAGCUGCCAAUGUGUCCCCCGGCAGGAUCUGUUUCUGGUUGCAAGGUUCUGAUGACAAUAAGAAAGACGUGCAAAAAAAAAAAAGAAAGACAGACAUGCAUAUGAAGGGUUGGCCCCCGCAAAU